ACUGCGUACCUUUUGUAUAAUGGGUCAGCGACUUAUAUUCUGUAGCAAGGUUAACCGUAUAGGGGAGCCGGAGGGAAACCGAGUCUUAAUUGGGCGUUAAGUUGCAGGGUAUAGACCCGAAACCCGGUGAUCUAGCCAUGGGCAGGUUGAAGGUUGGGUAACACUAACUGGAGGACCGAACCGACUAAUGUUGAAAAAUUAGCGGAUGACCUGUGGCUGGGGGUGAAAGGCCAAUCAAACCGGGAGAUAGCUGGUUCUCCCCGAAAGCUAUUUAGGUAGCGCCUCGUGAAUUCAUCUCCGGGGGUAGAGCACUGUUUCGGCUAGGGGGCCAUCCCGGCUUACCAACCCGAUGCAAACUGCGAAUACCGGAGAAUGUUAUCACGGGAGACACACGGCGGGUGCUAACGUCCGUCGUGAAGAGGGAAACAACCCAGACCGCCAGCUAAGGUCCCAAAGUCAUGGUUAAGUGGGAAACGAUGUGGGAAGGCCCAGACAGCCAGGAUGUUGGCUUAGAAGCAGCCAUCAUUUAAAGAAAGCGUAAUAGCUCACUGGUCGAGUCGGCCUGCGCGGAAGAUGUAACGGGGCUAAACCAUGCACCGAAGCUGCGGCAGCGAACGUAUCACCCAAGACAACUUUACGGAGUUGACGAUUGACGGAGCGAAGCGACGUCAAAGCGUUCAUUAAAGUCGAGUUGGCUUAGGGAUACGUUCGUUGGGUAGGGGAGCGUUCUGUAAGCCUGUGAAGGUGUGUCGUGAGGCAUGCUGGAGGUAUCAGAAGUGCGAAUGCUGACAUAAGUAACGAUAAAGCGGGUGAAAAGCCCGCUCGCCGGAAGACCAAGGGUUCCUGUCCAACGUUAAUCGGGGCAGGGUGAGUCGACCCCUAAGGCGAGGCCGAAAGGCGUAGUCGAUGGGAAACGGGUUAAUAUUCCCGUACUUGGUGUUACUGCGAAGGGGGGACGGAGAAGGCUAUGUUGGCCGGGCGACGGUUGUCCCGGUUUAAGCGUGUAGGUGUGUGUUCCAGGUAAAUCCGGUUCACUUUAACACUGAGGCGUGACGACGAGGCACUACGGUGCUGAAGCAACAAAUGCCCUGCUUCCAGGAAAAGCCUCUAAGCAUCAGGUAACACGAAAUCGUACCCCAAACCGACACAGGUGGUCAGGUAGAGAAUACCAAGGCGCUUGAGAGAACUCGGGUGAAGGAACUAGGCAAAAUGGUGCCGUAACUUCGGGAGAAGGCACGCUGACACGUAGGUGAAGUGAUUUACUCAUGGAGCUGAAGUCAGUCGAAGAUACCAGCUGGCUGCAACUGUUUAUUAAAAACACAGCACUGUGCAAACACGAAAGUGGACGUAUACGGUGUGACGCCUGCCCGGUGCCGGAA
rnacentral:rRNA from 1 species